rnacentral:piRNA from 1 species
UGGUGACUAACAACAUCUAGC